rnacentral:rRNA from 1 species
GGGGCUCACAUACUGGUGGUGCAUGGUCGUCGUCAGCUUGGGUGUUGAGAUGUUGGGUUAAGUCCCGCAAGGAGCGCAACCCUUAUUAUUAGUUCCUUCGCAAGAGCACUCUAAUGAGACUACCGUUGACAAAACGGAGGAAGGUGGGGAGGACGUCAAAUCAUCAUGCCCCUUAUGACCUGGUCCACACACUUAUUGCAAUGGCACUGAAACAGAGGGAAGUGACAUCGAGAGGUGAAGCGAAUCCCAAAAAAGUGUCCCAGUUCGGAUUGCAGGCUGCAACUCGCAUGCAUGAAGUCGGAAUUGCUAGUAAUCGCGGAUCAGCAUUCCCCGGUGAAUACGUUCCCGGGCCUUGUUCACACCGCCCGUCACACCAUGGGAGUCGGUAACACCCGAAGCCAGUAGCCUAACCGCAAGGAGGGCGCUGUCGAAGGUGGGAUUGAUGACUGGGGUGAAGUCGUAACAAGGUAGCCGUAUCGGAAGGUGCGGCUGGAUCACCUC